CCUACGGGGGGCAGCAGUGGGGAAUAUUGGACAAUGGGGGGAACCCUGAUCCAGCCAUGCCGCGUGUGUGAAGAAGGCCCUCGGGUUGUAAAGCACUUUCAGUGAGGAAGAACGCCUGGUGGUUAAUACCCAUCAGGAAAGACAUCACUCACAGAAGAAGCACCGGCUAACUCCGUGCCAGCAGCCGCGGUAAUACGGAGGGUGCGAGCGUUAAUCGGAAUUACUGGGCGUAAAGCGCGCGUAGGUGGCUUGAUAAGCCGGUUGUGAAAGCCCCGGGCUCAACCUGGGAACGGCAUCCGGAACUGUCAAGCUAGAGUGCAGGAGAGGAAGGUAGAAUUCCCGGUGUAGCGGUGAAAUGCGUAGAGAGCGGGAGGAAUACCAGUGGCGAAGGUGGCCUUCUGGACUGACACUGACACUGAGGUGCGAAAGCGUGGGUAGCAAACAGGAUUAGAUACCCUAGUAGUC
rnacentral:rRNA from 1 species